rnacentral:rRNA from 1 species
GAUGAACGCUCGCGGCAGGCUUAACACAUGCAAGUCGAGGGGUAUUUAUCUUCGGAUAGAGAGACCGGCGCACGGGUGCGUAACGCGUAUGCAAUCUACCUUUUACAGAGGGAUAGCCCAGAGAAAUUUGGAUUAAUACCUCAUAGUAUAUAGACUCGGCAUCGCGAUUAUAUUAAAGUCACAACGGUAAAAGAUGAGCAUGCGUCCCAUUAGCUAGUUGGUAAGGUAACGGCUUACCAAGGCUACGAUGGGUAGGGGUCCUGAGAGGGAGAUCCCCCACACUGGGACUGAGACACGGACCAGACUCCUACGGGAGGCAGCAGUGAGGAAUAGUGGACAAUGGGCGCAAGCCUGAUCCAGCCAUGCCGCGUGCAGGAUGACGGUCCUAUGGAUUGUAAACUGCUUUUAGACGAGAAGAAACACUGCUACGGGUAGCAGCUUGACGGUAUCGUAAGAAUAAGGAUCGGCUAACUACGUG